GAUGAACGCUGGCGGCGUGCCUAAUACAUGCAAGUCGAGCGAACAGACGAGGAGCUUGCUCCUCUGACGUUAGCGGCGGACGGGUGAGUAACACGUGGAUAACCUACCUAUAAGACUGGGAUAACUUCGGGAAACCGGAGCUAAUACCGGAUAAUAUAUUGAACCGCAUGGUUCAAUAGUGAAAGACGGUUUUGCUGUCACUUAUAGAUGGAUCCGCGCCGCAUUAGCUAGUUGGUAAGGUAACGGCUUACCAAGGCAACGAUGCGUAGCCGACCUGAGAGGGUGAUCGGCCACACUGGAACUGAGACACGGUCCAGACUCCUACGGGAGGCAGCAGUAGGGAAUCUUCCGCAAUGGGCGAAAGCUUGACGGAGCAACGCCGCGUGAGUGAUGAAGGUCUUCGGAUCGUAAAACUCUGUUAUUAGGGAAGAACAAAUGUGUAAGUAACUAUGCACGUCUUGACGGUACCUAAUCAGAAAGCCACGGCUAACUACG
rnacentral:rRNA from 1 species